rnacentral:hammerhead_ribozyme from 1 species
AUUCAACUGAUGAGUUUUAAAUAGGACGAAACGAGCUUCUUGAUU